rnacentral:rRNA from 1 species
AAUUAUCCUCAUAAGUUUGACGAUAAGAGAAGCCAUAUAAUAUUUAAAUUAGACAUAAUUAAAUUAAUUAAAUGGUAUAAUAAAAAUGGAGGCCACGACUGUUUACUAAAAACACAAUUCAGAGCAAUAAUUAAGAUAAUAGUAUUCUGGAUGAAAUUUGCUCAAUGCCAUUAAUAUAAGUGAGGUAAUUUAAAAGUUACUAAUCGAAAAUCUGGUUAAUAGCGGUCUUAACUAUGAGGAUCCUAAGGUAGCAAAAUAAGUUGGCCAUUAAAUGUGGUCUUGUAUCAAUAAUGUAACGAUGGUCUCACUGUCUCUACAACUUGCUCAGUGAAAUUGAAUUGCGAGUGCAGAUGCUCGCUAUCUUCAGAGGGACGGGAAGACCCUAU